GAUGAACGCUGGCGGCGUGCCUAACACAUGCAAGUCGAACGGAGAUUACGGACAGAAGUUUUCGGAUGGAAGACUGUAAUUCUUAGUGGCGGACGGGUGAGUAACGCGUGGGCAACCUGCCCUAUACAGGGGGAUAGCAGCUGGAAACGGCUGGUAAGACCGCAUAAGUCGGCGAGACCGCAUGGUUUUGCCGGGAAAUGAGCAAUCAGGUAUAGGAUGGGCCCGCGUCCGAUUAGCCAGUUGGCAGGGUAAAAGCCUACCAAAGCAACGAUCGGUAGCCGGACUGAGAGGUCGGACGGCCACAUUGGGACUGAGACACGGCCCAAACUCCUACGGGAGGCAGCAGUGGGGGAUAUUGCACAAUGGAGGAAACUCUGAUGCAGCGACGCCGCGUGAGUGAAGAAGUAUUUCGGUAUGUAAAGCUCUAUCAGCAGGGAAGAUGAUGACGGUACCUGACGAAGAAGCCCCGGCUAACUACGUG
rnacentral:rRNA from 1 species